UCAUUGCUGAAGAGUCCUACAAUAGGAUGAAACGGCCGUCCAUUUG
rnacentral:hammerhead_ribozyme from 1 species